rnacentral:lncRNA from 1 species
GUGAGGAAGAUUGGCCCUGAGCUAACAUCUGUUGCCAAUGUUCCUCUCUUUUAUAUGUGGGACGCUGCCACAACAUGGUUUGAUGAGCGGUGUGUAGGUCUGUGCCCAGGAUCCGAACCUGUGAACGCCAGGCUGCCAAAGUGGAGUGUGCGAACUCAACCACUAUGCCACCAGGGUGCCCUGCAUUCUUCUUUUUAAGAGAGUUCUAGUGGACAGCACCGCUGUGAUGUUCUCACCCCAAGUCAAGGAGCAAGAUGCAAGCAAUGGCUCAGGCCUUCUCAGCCAAGCAAGGACCUCCGGUGUGGGUAACGGCAGCAGGAUGCCCGGACCCAGGGCAGGAGGACUAUGGAGGUUCCUUGGGGAGAGCCCUAGCACCCCCUCCCAGGAAAGCAACCCCACCAUAGAGAGUGCGGUUGGCUUCCCUGCCCAGCGACAUCCAUCUACUCACAGCGCCGUCUCCUCCUCCUGGCACCGGGCCGGCUGCUCUGCGAGCCGCGCUGCCCUGAGGUCCUUUUCUACCCUGCGGCAGUUCUUCCAAGCUCUGGCACCAGGAAGGGUCUGUGAUUGGGAGGAGGCCUCUCCCAUGGGCUGAGCCUGAGGCUGCCUGAACCUGCCUCGCCGAGGCCGGAAGUCACAGGAAACUCCGCUGGUAGAUUUCUGCUGCUCUGGAAUGAGUGAUUCUGACAGAUGGAAGCCCGGGACCCCGCUCAGCGCAUCACUCCUCUGGAUUCCUUCUGCGUCUGGGCUUCCUCGAACACACACUCGAGGCUUUCGUUUUUGUUCUGAUUUGAUUUAUUAGUGUGAUUUGAUCCUUUGUUCUGCUUUUGUGCAUUAAAAGUCCUCUCUAUUGUCCUGACUGCUCAAAGUCACGCUGGUACAUGUUUAUCUGUCUAAGGUCUUGUGUAGUUUCAGUAUCUGUUAACUUGCAUCUGCUACAUUACGGGGAAAGUAAUUGCCCAAGUAAUGCUCACACUGGAGGGGGUCCAAAGACUAA